AAUAUUUAGACCAUAGUUAGUUUAAGCAGAUGAUUUUUGCCACGGCAUGUUCUGAGCGUCAUCUUGUCUUCUUCAAACGAUCUUCAUUGCAUCUGCAUUGUUCAUGUCAACGAGAGCUGGAUGGGCAAUAUGCUUGAUGAUUUCGCCAAGGCUACAACACUAUAGACAAAUACUCGUAAUAUUAAAAAUAAACAAUACUAGCCUAUUCUCAAUUUGACUACAGACUUCAAGCAAUAACAAAAGUUUGACAAUAAACGAAGAGUAUAUGUGUAUGUAUCAAAUACAUGGUAGUGUGUGUAAUGUUUUUUUAUUGAUUUAAUGUAUUAUUAAUGCAUAAUUUAAAAAAAUAUAGCAUUCUGCACUCCUUCACUGUA